GGGUGGCCGUCACUGAGUCCCAAGGAACACCAGGGCCCAACCUGGGUCUUUGUCUGUCCAUCUCUGCCACCCUUCCUCCCGGGCCUGGAAUCUCAUGCUGAAUUUUCUCAGGAAGUAUCAAGCACUCUGGGCCCAGACCAGCUCUUCCAAGGGAGCGUCAGGGUCCAUCUGGUCCAGUUUGGCCCCCACGGCAUCUUCGGCUUCAUCAUCCCCAGAGCAGAUGUGCUCAGCUCCUUUCUUCUCGGACCACCUGAAGCCAGCCCCCAGCUGCAAAGGCAUUAUUGGACCUCAGGCCCAAAGCAGCCCGGCCUCCAGGUCCCUGGCAUCAAUCCUCGUGUUCCAAACCCCGUGGUCUGCCUGGGGCUAGGGGACGUGAUCCUCUUCCAGCUUCAUAUUCUUCCCCACAACCGCUCGGCCAGCCACUACCCUGUGUACCAGAAGCAGCAUCUGUUCAACAGCAACCCCCACUGGGACUCCGGGGCCUUCCGCAGACUCAGCCACCUGGUGCGAGAGACACACCUCAACUUCUCAAGGGGUGCUGCUGGCUGCUGGCUUGGCGACUGUGCUGUUGACGGGCCUGGGCCUCCUGCUGAGUCCUUCCCUGCCCCAUGCCUGCCCCAUGCAGGCUUGGAAGCCUCGGUGGAGAAGCCUGGGACAGCCUCAGGUGCCUGCUGAGUAUGUGAUCCUUAGGGACAGGUGAGUCCCCCCUUCCCCCCACACACCAGGCCCA
rnacentral:lncRNA from 10 species